UAGGGAAUCUUCCACAAUGGACGAAAGUCUGAUGGAGCAACGCCGCGUGAGUGAUGAAGGGUUUCGGCUCGUAAAACCCUGUUGUUGGAGAAGAACAGGUGUGAGAGUAACUGUUCACAUCUUGACGGUAUCCAACCAGAAAGCCACGGCUAACUACGUGCCAGCAGCCGCGGUAGUACGUAGGUGGCAAGCGUUGUCCGGAUUUAUUGGGCGUAAAGCGAGCGCAGGCGGUUUCUUAGGUCUGAUGUGAAAGCCUUCGGCUUAACCGGAGAAGUGCAUCGGAAACCAGGAGACUUGAGUGCAGAAGAGGACAGUGGAACUCCAUGUGUAGCGGUGAAAUGCGUAGAUAUAUGGAAGAACACCAGUGGCGAAGGCGGCUGUCUGGUCUGUAACUGACGCUGAGGCUCGAAAGCAUGGGUAGCGAACAGGAUUAGAUACCCUGGUAGUCCAUGCCGUAAACGAUGAGUGCUAAGUGUUGGAGGGUUUCCGCCCUUCAGUGCUGCAGCUAA
rnacentral:rRNA from 1 species